CCUAUGGGGGGCAGCAGUGGGGAAUAUUGGGCAAUGGACGCAAGUCUGACCCAGCAACGCCGCGUGAAGGAAGAAGGCUUUCGGGUUGUAAACUUCUUUUAAGGGGGAAGAGCAGAAGACGGUACCCCUUGAAUAAGCCACGGCUAACUACGUGCCAGCAGCCGCGGUAAUACGUAGGUGGCAAGCGUUGUCCGGAUUUACUGGGUGUAAAGGGCGUGCAGCCGGAGAGACAAGUCAGAUGUGAAAUCCACGGGCUCAACCCGUGAACUGCAUUUGAAACUGUUUCCCUUGAGUGUCGGAGAGGUAAUCGGAAUUCCUUGUGUAGCGGUGAAAUGCGUAGAUAUAUGGAAGAACACCAGUGGCGAAGGCGGCCGCCUGGCCUGUUGCUGACGCUGAGGCACGAAAGCGUGGGGAGCAAAUAGGAUUAGAUACCCGUGUAGUC
rnacentral:rRNA from 1 species